rnacentral:rRNA from 1 species
AGGCAGCAGUGGGGAAUAUUGCACAAUGGGCGCAAGCCUGAUGCAGCAACGCCGCGUGAGGGACGACGGCCUUCGGGUUGUAAACCUCUUUUAGUAGGGAAGAAGCGAUGUGCUUGUCACAUCAUGACGGUACCUGCAGAAAAAGCACCGGCUAACUACGUGCCAGCAGCCGCGGUAAUACGUAGGGUGCAAGCGUUAUCCGGAAUUAUUGGGCGUAAAGAGCUCGUAGGCGGUUUGUCGCGUCUGCUGUGAAAACUGGAGGCUCAACCUCCAGCCUGCAGUGGGUACGGGCAGACUAGAGUGCGGUAGGGGAGAUUGGAAUUCCUGGUGUAGCGGUGGAAUGCGCAGAUAUCAGGAGGAACACCAAUGGCGAAGGCAGAUCUCUGGGCCGUAACUGACGCUGAGGAGCGAAAGCAUGGGGAGCGAACAGGAUUAGAUACCCUGGUAGUCCAUGCCGUAAACGUUGGGAACUAGAUGUAGGGACCAUUCCACGGUUUCUGUGUCGCAGCUAACGCAUUAAGUUCCCCGCCUGGGGAGUACGGCCGCAAGGCUAAAACUCAAAGGAAUUGACGGGGGCCCGCACAAGCGGCGGAGCAUGCGGAUUAAUUCGAUGCAACGCGAAGAACCUUACCAAGACUUGACAUAUACGAGAACGGGCUAGAAAUAGUUCACUCUUUGGACACUCGUAAACA